AGAAGACAGGACGAAAGUUGUCACCGUGAGACCAACUGAACCCAGGUUUGUAGUUUAUGUUUCUACAUAUGCAUAAAGUGUCAUUAAGUUCUCCAAUGCCGUUUUCUUUUGUCUGCUCAGCCGUCCAGGUUGUGAUGACACGCAAAAGUUGAAUGGAGACGUCUGGACUCUUUUUGUGAAAGUUCCGGAUGUGGAUUCAUCUUUGUGGAAACCUUAAAAGUAGCGAUAAGUGCAACAGCGUUGGCGAUUGGUCAUCCUCUGAUCCAUGUGACCUUCCUUCCUGCUCCGCCUUCGCCUUCAUGCCGAGGACUAUUCUUCAUCCCCCCACCCCUCUCCUCCUCCUCCUCCUCGUUCUCCUCGCAAUCGAGUGUGGUCAGCGAAGGUCAUCCCGGGCUGUGCACAAUGUAAUUAGCCUUCCUGCACACAUGCACAAACAGACU